AUGUAAGUACCAAGGCAGGCUAGUGUAUUCUAAGAUGGUACUUGCAUACUGUACAGUUACCGCCUUAGAAUACACUAGCCAACCUUGGUACUUGCAUU